AAAUCAAAAAAUAGUUCGAUUGUGUGUUUUCAAGAGACACACAGUACAAGAGAUAUUGAAACUUUAUGGGGGGAUGAAUGGGGUCAUCAGUGUUACUUCAGUCAUGGUGAUAGUAGAAGUGCUGGAGUUUGUGUCAUGUUCAGGGGUGGUUAUGAUUACGAAGUUCAUGAAUCUCUUUAGACCAACAUGGAUGAUACAUCAUAUUAGACUUGACUCUAUACGAUCAAAGAUUAACUUUGGUAUGUUUAUAUGGUUAUAACAAAGAUAAACCAGAAUUUUUCUGUGAUAUCCUACAGAAAACUAC
rnacentral:lncRNA from 1 species